rnacentral:misc_RNA from 1 species
AUGCGAUAAGUAGUGUGAAUUGCAGAAUUCAGUGAAUCAUCGAAUCUUUGAACGCACAUUGCGCCCUUUGGUAUUCCUUAGGGCAUGCCUGUUCGAGCGUCAUUUGAACCCUCAAGCUCAGCUUGGUGUUGGGUGUCUGUCCCCGCCUCCGCGGGGACUCGCCUCAAAAUCAUUGGCGGCCGGUACGUUGGCUUCGAGCGCAGCAGAAACGCGAACUCGAGGCCCGGCGGAUCGGCGACCAGAAGUCUCUUCUUCACAGUUUGACCUCGGAUCAGGUAGGGAUACCCGCUGAACUUAA